UACGUAGGGUGCGAGCGUUAAUCGGAAUUUACUGGGCGUAAAGUGUGCGCAGGUGGCCGCGCAAGUCGAGUGUGAAAAUCCCCCGAGCUUAAACUUGGGGAAUUGCGCUCGAAACUACGUGGCUCGAGUGUGGCAGAGGAAGGUGGAAUUCCACGUGUAGCGGUGAAAUGCGUAGAGAUGUGGAGGAACACCGAUGGCGAAGGCAGCCUUCUGGGCCAACACUGACGCUCAUGCACGAAAGCGUGGGGAGCAAACAGG
rnacentral:rRNA from 1 species